GGGGCUGUAGCUCAGUUGGGAGAGCGCUACAAUGGCAUUGUAGAGGUCAGGGGUUCGAUUCCCCUUGGCUCCACCA
rnacentral:tRNA from 1 species